rnacentral:other from 1 species
UUUAUCCUGCUUAGUGCGUGAUAAGACGAUGUAUUCGACCUACAAUUUACAAAUGGAGCUCAAUAUCCUAUAUCGGUUUGCAGGCCUCCUAUCUUUCCUCUCUUAAUGGACUUUUGUCGGACUGGGUUAGAUAGAUGUUGGAAGCAGUGAAGAUAUUAUGAGGGCACCGCCUUGCUUAGAGCAGGGUUCAAAUGAUUGUUUUACACGGCUCGGUGGGACACAA